GCGACGGUUUGCCAGCAGCCUCUGAAUAGGCUGUAGCUCAAACAGUAAAGAAUCUGCCUGCAGUGUGGAAGACUUGGGUUCGAGCCCUGGGUUGGGAAGAUCCCCUGGAGGAGGGAAUGGCUACCCACUCCAGUAUUCUUGCCUGGAGAAUCCCCAGGGACAGAAGAGCCUGGUGGGUUACAGUCCAUGGGGUUGCAAAGAGUCAGACAAGCCUGAGCAACUUUCACUUUCCUGGAGAAGUCUGGGGAUUUCCAAAGAUGCGUAUUCCUGAGCUGUGAUGCAGGACCACGGUGCGUCCACAUGCACUGACCGCCUCAUCGCACCAGUGGGAUGUGAGGGUCAAGGGGCUCAUGUUGCCUGCUCUGCGUUUAGAAUCCUGUGUGCUGUGUGAGUCUACAUCCUGAUAAAUUCAAGUGUCCACACUCGGUGGCUUGUUCUUUCAAUGAAGCUUCUCGCCUCCAUUGUGUUGGUCACUUCAACUGCCCUUCUUCGCCCAAAAUAAGAUCCCACCGUGUGGUCAUCCUGGGUGUCCAAUGAAGAGAAAUGAAGUUCCGAGUGUGAGCCAUCUUUGGAGUUAGAAUAUCCUGACCAGGAAGUGAAGCCCUGGAGGUUGAUCUGAGCUGGCUAAGUCACCUGUGCGUCUCUGGGAAUCUCAGGCUUGGACUCUGGGGCAUCUGCACGUCACUGAGGACAUUCUUGUCUGGUGUAGAAACGAAGGCUUCUUCCUCACAGAGGGGCUGUGUUCUAAGCAAGAAAGUGCAGCGAUAAGGCAGUCCAGCUGGAGACCCCAAAUACCCAAGGUCUCGUGCCCAGAGGUUCACACAGCAGAGUGACCGCAUCCAAAAGGUCAUUGGGAGCUUUGCUCUGAGCUGUAAUUUCCUCAGGACUUAAACAAAAACGGACCGCGUGUUUCAGUCUGGUCUCAGUGCUGCUGUGGGAAACUGCCAAGAUGUUCUGCCUUCAUGCUCUGGUGGGAGUGGGAAAAGACAAGAGAAUGUGCCAUGGUUUAACAGUUUCAGUUAUAAUACGGUACAAAAUGCUGUUCUAUGUAUAUCUGUGCUUCACUGAAAAGGGUGGUCAAACGUUUUAGGUUGGUUUUCAACUCAAAGUUUGCUCCUGAUGCUGACACAGACAACACUGAAGUAAAUCUAUGCUUUCUGCCUCAUUUCAUUUAUUCAUUUAUUCACUUGUUUAACAAAAAUAUAGGAAUCACCAAUAAUUGUAAACCAGGGCUUUCCCCAAGUGUUGUGGACAUAAAACAGAUCCUUGCCCCAUAGAAGACAGACACGUAAAAAGGAAGA